GACGAACGCUGGCGGCGUGCCUAAUACAUGCAAGUCGAGCGAGGUUGUUUGGAAUGCUUGCAUUUCAAACAACCCAGCGGCGGACGGGUGAGUAACACGUGGGCAACCUGCCCUGUAGACUGGGAUAACUUCGGGAAACCGGAGCUGAUACCGGAUAAUUCUUUUAGCCUCAUGGCUUUAAGCUAAAAGGCGCUUCGGCGUCACUACAGGAUGGGCCCGCGGUGCAUUAGCUAGUUGGUGGGGUAACGGCCUACCAAGGCAACGAUGCAUAGCCGACCGUAGAGGGGGAUCGGCCACAUGGGGACUGAGACACGGCCCAAACUCCUACGGGAGGAAGCAGUAGGGAAUCUUCCACAAUGGACGAAAGUCUGAUGGAGCAACGCCGCGUGAGUGAUGAAGGUUUUCGGAUCGUAAAACUCUGUUGUAAGGGAAGAACAAGUGCGUUAGGUAAUGAACGCACCUUGACGGUACCUUAUUAGAAAGCCACGGCUAACUACGUGCCAGCAGCCGCCGUAA
rnacentral:rRNA from 1 species